rnacentral:rRNA from 1 species
UACGUAGGGGGCAAGCGUUGUCCGGAUUUAUUGGGCGUAAAGAGCGUGUAGGCGGCCAGAUAGGUCUGUUGUGAAAACUCGAGGCUCAACCUCGAGACGCCGAUGGAAACCAUUUGGCUAGAGUCCGGAAGAGGAGAGUGGAAUUCCUGGUGUAGCGGUGAAAUGCGCAGAUAUCAGGAAGAACACCCGUGGCUAAGGCGGCUCUCUAGUACGGUACUGACGCUGAGACGCGAAAAGCGUGGGGAGCGAACAGG